CGCGUGUGUGAAGAAGGCCUUCGGGUUGUAAAGCACUUUUGUCCGGAAAGAAAUCCUUGGUUCUAAUAUAACCGGGGGAUGACGGUACCGGAAGAAUAAGCACCGGCUAACUACGUGCCAGCAGCCGCGGUAAUACGUAGGGUGCGAGCGUUAAUCGGAAUUACUGGGCGUAAAGCGUGCGCAGGCGGUUUGUUAAGACCGAUGUGAAAUCCCCGGGCUCAACCUGGGAACUGCAUUGGUGACUGGCAAGCUAGAGUAUGGCAGAGGGGGGUAGAAUUCCACGUGUAGCAGUGAAAUGCGUAGAGAUGUGGAGGAAUACCGAUGGCGAAGGCAGCCCCCUGGGCCAAUACUGACGCUCAUGCACGAAAGCGUGGGGAGCAAACAGGAUUAGAUACCCUGGUAGUCCACGCCCUAAACGAUGUCAACUAGUUGUUGGGGAUUCAUUUCCUUAGUAACGUAGCUAACGCGUGAAGUUGACCGCCUGGGGAGUACGGUCGCAAGAUUAAAACUCAAAGGAAUUGACGGGGACCCGCACAAGCGGUGGAUGAUGUGGAUUAAUUCGAUGCAACGCGAAAAACCUUACCUACCCUUGACAUGGUCGGAAUCCCGCUGAGAGGUGGGAGUGCUCGAAAGAGAACCGGCGCACAGGUGCUGCAUGGCUGUCGUCAGCUCGUGUCGUGAGAUGUUGGGUUAAGUCCCGCAACGAGCGCAACCCUUGUCCUUAGUUGCUACGCAAGAGCACUCUAAGGAGACUGCCGGUGACAAACCGGAGGAAGGUGGGGGAUGACGUCAAGUCCUCAUGGCCCUUAUGGGUAGGGCUUCACACGUCAUACCAUGGUCGGAACAGAGGGUUGCCAACCCGCGAGGGGGAGCUAAUCCCAGAAAACCGAUCGUAGUCCGGAUUGCACUCUGCAACUCGAGUGCA
rnacentral:rRNA from 1 species